rnacentral:misc_RNA from 1 species
UUUUUAUAUUCUGCUUAGCAUUGUUCUUUGUGAGCUCUUAUGACUCUAAACUACAUCAUGGUAGUUCACAUUGCUAUCUAUCUAUCACAUGUAAAAAAAUUUCACUUAACAACCAAAGACAAGUUGUUGUGCUGUCACCUACUAUGUGUGGAUUUGAAUUAUAGCCUGAUGAUUAACGUAAUUAAUUGCUGAGUAUGUUUCUGUCAAAUACAAUUAAUUAUCCCUCAGCUGCUUUUGUAAAACUUACUGUGCUAACCUUCUUGGCAG